CAACAGCUGAAUGAAAAACAGAACGAAGAUCCUUCCCAACAAUAUGAUGCUCAUUCACAUGAACCCUCUGGAGAGGAUCAUGUGAAUGAAAAGGAGGGUGCACAUAGAAAAGGGCGCAACCGGGGUCGGGGAAAGGGACGCGGGAGGGCUCAAUACCAUCAAAAUAACCGUGGAAAUCAUGUGGGAACUCCCCCUUCAAAUAAUCCAGUCAUUGGUGAGCAGCCAGGUAUGGGGAAGCAACCCCCGGGGCCCCGUAUGCCAGAUGGCACAAGAGG
rnacentral:misc_RNA from 1 species